CCGCCAGCAUGAGAACGCCCAGCAGUGUUGAAAUGGCGCCGUCGACCACCGGGGCAAACACGUGCUCCAGAGCCAGGGCCGAGCGCCUGUUUCUGCUGCCAAGGGCUGUCAGGAAGCCCUGCCACAGAAGGAAAGGUGGAGAGGAGAAAUGAGUCGCCCAUCACACAAAACGUGGGCUUGUGGUGGCGAGGCUGGACCUGGAUGAGUUUUGGGGCUGAAAGACGGUACGCUAGCAGGUCUGAGAGCAUCCUGGGUGUUCCUCACGCGCCCUCCCAGGAUCAGCUCCUCCUGCCAGUGCAUGAACUUCUGGCUGAAACCAUGACAACCGCCUCGGAGAUGCUUGGCAAUAUCCGGGCUCUAAAGAAGAGCAGAAACAUGAUUUUUGAAGCCAUCUUUCUCGCAGCUUCCAAGAGCAUCAAGUCGUACCUCCUCUUCUUCCUUGUUGGGCGCGCUGAGAGGACAGUCGGGGUCUGACGGCUCCAAACAAGGCCUGUUCAUGGACGUGAACUGACUGAGUUCCUCCAUCAGCUUGACGGGAUCCAGAUUCAUCCACUGGAUGUCCGGCAUGCCCCUGAGGAGAAAGCACAGAAGAUGAACAUUUUGCACCGUGGAGCAAGAACCGAAGAUGUACAUUUUGCACUGUGGAGCAAGCACGGAAGAUGAUAGAAUAAAAGCUUUCUCA